UGCCUUAUAUUUAAUAAUAUAAUAUUAAUUUGCAAAUUUAAAGUAGGUUGAAUAAUAAGCCUAAGGCUU
rnacentral:tRNA from 1 species